rnacentral:rRNA from 1 species
GAUGAACGCUGGCGGCGUGCCUAAUACAUGCAAGUCGAGCGAACGGACGAGAAGCUUGCUUCUCUGAUGUUAGCGGCGGACGGGUGAGUAACACGUGGAUAACCUACCUAUAAGACUGGGAUAACUUCGGGAAACCGGAGCUAAUACCGGAUGAUAUUUUGAACCGCAUGGUUCAAAAGUGAAAGACGGUCUUGCUGUCACUUAUAGAUGGAUCCGCGCUGCAUUAGCUAGUUGGUAAGGUAACGGCUUACCAAGGCAACGAUGCAUAGCCGACCUGAGAGGGUGAUCGGCCACACGGGAGCUGAGACACGGUCCAGACUCCUACGGGAGGCAGCAGUCGGGAAUCGUCCGCAGUGGGCGAAAGCCUGACGGAACAACGCCACGUGAGUGGUGAAGGUCUUCGGAUCGUAAAACUCUGUUAUUGAGGAAGAACAGAUGUGUAAGUAGCUGUGCACAUCUUGACGGUACCUAAUCAGAAAGCCACGGCUAACUACGUG